UAUCCCCCGCAUAUACUUUCGUCGUCUUGAUUUUAGGGUUCCUGCCCAGAGGGAUGAACUGCGAGAUCUUCCACCUGAGAGAACUGGACGUGGAGCCGUAUCAAAUCCGCGAGGUUUUGAGAUGCAUACUCCACACGGUCAUGUUUAACAGGGCAUUGGGCCUCGUCCGGCCGCACGACGUCGAUUCCGAGCUCUUCGAUCUAACUUAUGUACAAUGUGGCGACUUAACAUUUGAGAAGAAGAUGGAGGAAAAAAUCGACCAGCUCAUUGCUUGGGUGGAAAAACAUCCAAACAAGAAAAUCACAGUUUGCCUUUCCUUCUACGAAACCAGAAGCAAGCAGAAUGCGUGGUUUGGACACAAAAUGGAACGCUUGUAUUGGGAGCAAUGGUAUGUCACGCUCAACACCACCGUCCAGCAGUCACACUUAAGAAGCAAGCCUCACCACGACAAGCUUGGCGACGCUCUUGAUUUGAUGACCGAUGAAAGAUCGAAGCGUCAUGCGCUACUCGAGUCCGGAUUGAAAGAAGUGAUGCUCCAGAUCUUACAGCAAGUAAACGAGAAGAAGGAUCACGUACCACCCGUCACUAGCCAGGAUGUAGUCUCGUUCCCGUAUGAGAUAUCAAUACCAAGCUCGUCGGACUCCUCGUUUGGAAUGGAUAUGUUCAAACGGAUGCUGCAAACUGGGCCUCCCACAAUGCUUGGCUGAUGCUUUGCGCGCAACUUUCAGCAAAAAUUGGAUCAAAUCUCCAUGCCGCUUGUAAGUAUUUGAUAUCGCCGCUCACUUGUAAAAAAAGAAAGGAAGCCACACGCAAGACCACACACAACACAGCCAUACUUCGCUUUCGCGGUUAAAUGCCACUCCAGUUGCCGGGAAUCGAUCCGGCGACGUCGGGGCAUUUUAUAAGGCGUGGAUUUUGGGGAGCCCACUAUAUCCAUGAGUGCAUUGUUCCAGGCAAGAGUUGUAACGAGGAUCACAACAAAUGUUGAUAUUGUCACAGGGAUCACAACAAAUUCCAAGUUAAGUGUUAGUCGCCACCACGUUGUUGUUAAUUGGAAGUGUCUUAAGAAAGA